UCUUGGUCAAUUAGAGGAAGUAAAAGUCGUAACAAGGUUUCCGUAGGUGAACCUGCGGAAGGAUCAUUAUAGAGUAAAACAAUGCUUGGGUUGUUGCUGGCUCUUAGGAGCAAUGUGCACGCCCCGCACCGUUUUUCUUACCACCUGUGCACCUUUUGUAGUUAAGAUUAACAUUAUAUAUGAGGAAUUGCGUUGCGACAGCUUUGCUUUCCUUGAAUGUUUUUCUUGUCUAUGUAUUCAUUUAUUCACACUAUAAAAGUAACAGAAUGUAUAUAACUUAUUGGCCUUUUGUGCCUUUAAAAUCAAUACAACUUUCAACAACGGAUCUCUUGGCUCUCGCAUCGAUGAAGAACGCAGCGAAAUGCGAUAAGUAAUGUGAAUUGCAGAAUUCAGUGAAUCAUCGAAUCUUUGAACGCACCUUGCGCUCCUUGGUAUUCCGAGGAGCAUGCCUGUUUGAGUGUCAUUAAAUUAAAUCAAAUCUCUAUUCUGUCAAAAGUUUAGAGGUAUGGAUUGUGGGGGUUUUGUGCUGGCUUUCUGCAAGUCAGCUCCCCUUAAAAGCAUUAGCAGAAACCCGUUGCUGGCAAUUCUGGUGUGAUAAUUAUCUACGCCAUUGUUAAUCACGGUUUUGCUUCCAAUAGUCCUGUUUAUUACGGACAAGUCUUUAAACAAUUUGACCUCAAGUCAGGUAGGACUACCCGCUGAACUUAAGCAUAUCAAUAAGC
rnacentral:rRNA from 1 species